rnacentral:rRNA from 1 species
AGUGACAUCAAAUCAUCAUGCCCCUUAUGACCUGGGCUACACACGUGCUACAAUGGGCGGUACAAAGGGUCGCGAACCCGCGAGGGGGAGCCAAUCCCAAAAAGCCGCUCUCAGUUCGGAUUGCAGGCUGCAACUCGCCUGCAUGAAGCCGGAAUCGCUAGUAAUCGCGGAUCAGCAUGCCGCGGUGAAUACGUUCCCGGGCCUU